rnacentral:rRNA from 1 species
UACAGAGGUCUCAAGCGUUGUUCGGAUUCAUUGGGCGUAAAGGGCGCGUAGGCGGCGGGGUAAGUCGGGUGUGAAAUCUCAGAGCUCAACUCUGAAAUGGCACUUGAUACUGCUCUGCUAGAGGACUGGAGAGGAGAUUGGAAUUCCUGGUGGAGCGGUGAAAUGCGCAGAUAUCAGGAGGAACACCCGUAGCGAAGGCGGCACUCUGGGCCGAUACUGACACUGAGGAGCGAAAGCGUGGGGAGCGAACAGG